CUACGGGUCGCAGCAGCUGAGGAAAUUUUACAAUGCUCGAAAGAGUGAUAAAAUAAGCCAGAGUGUUUCUCUUAGAGAAACUUUUGUCUGCUGUAAAAAGGCAGACGAAUAAGGACUGGGCAAGACCGGUGCCAGCCGCCGCGGUAAUACCGGCGGUCCGAGUCGCAUCCACAUUUAUUGGGUCUAAAACAUUCGUAGCUUGUUUUAUAAGUCUCUUGUGAAAUCUCAUAUCUCAAAUAUGAGGCGUGCAAGAGAUACUGUAUUACUAGAGACCGGAAGACGCAAAGAGUAUGAUUAAGGUAGCGGUAAAAUGUGUUAAGCUUAAUCAGACUAACAAUGGCGAAGGCACUUUGCGAGUACGGAUCUGACAGUGAGGGAUGAAGGCUAGGGGCGCAAAAGGGAUUAGAUACCCUGGUAGUC
rnacentral:rRNA from 1 species